rnacentral:rRNA from 1 species
AGAGUUUGAUCCUGGCUCAGGACGAACGCUGGCGGCACGCUUAACACAUGCAAGUCGAACGAGAGAAGAGGAGCUUGCUUUUCUGAUCUAGUGGCGGACGGGUGAGUAACACGUGAGCAAUCUGCCUUUCAGAGGGGGAUACCGAUUGGAAACGAUCGUUAAUACCGCAUAACAUAAUUGAACCGCAUGAUUUGAUUAUCAAAGAUUUAUCGCUGAAAGAUGAGCUCGCGUCUGAUUAGCUAGUUGGUAAGGUAACGGCUUACCAAGGCGACGAUCAGUAGCCGGACUGAGAGGUUGAUCGGCCACAUUGGGACUGAGACACGGCCCAGACUCCUACGGGAGGCAGCAGUGGGGAAUAUUGCACAAUGGAGGAAACUCUGAUGCAGCGAUGCCGCGUGAGGGAAGAAGGUUUUAGGAUUGUAAACCUCUGUCUUCAGGGACGAAAAAAGACGGUACCUGAGGAGGAAGCUCCGGCUAACUACGUGCCAGCAGCCGCGGUAAUACGUAGGGAGCGAGCGUUGUCCGGAAUUACUGGGUGUAAAGGGAGCGUAGGCGGGAUCGCAAGUCAGAUGUGAAAACUAUGGGCUUAACCCAUAAACUGCAUUUGAAACUGUGGUUCUUGAGUGAAGUAGAGGUAAGCGGAAUUCCUAGUGUAGCGGUGAAAUGCGUAGAUAUUAGGAGGAACAUCAGUGGCGAAGGCGGCUUACUGGGCUUUAACUGACGCUGAGGCUCGAAAGCGUGGGGAGCAAACAGGAUUAGAUACCCUGGUAGUCCACGCCGUAAACGAUGAUUACUAGGUGUGGGGGGACUGACCCCUUCCGUGCCGCAGCAAACGCAAUAAGUAAUCCACCUGGGGGGUACGACCGCAAGGUUGAAACUCAAAGGAAUUGACGGGGGCCCGCACAAGCAGUGGAGUAUGUGGAUUAAUUCGAAGCAACGCGAAGAACCUUACCAGGUCUUGACAUCGUAUGCAUAGCUCAGAGAUGAGUGAAAUCUCUUCGGAGACAUAUAGACAGGUGGUGCAUGGUUGUCGUCAGCUCGUGUCGUGAGAUGUUGGGUUAAGUCCCGCAACGAGCGCAACCCUUACUGUUAGUUGCUACGCAAGAGCACUCUAGCAGGACUGCCGUUGACAAAACGGAGGAAGGUGGGGAUGACGUCAAAUCAUCAUGCCCCUUAUGACCUGGGCCUCACACGUACUACAAUGGCUGUCAACAGAGGGAAGCAAAGCCGCGAGGUGGAGCGAACCCCUAAAAGCAGUCUUAGUUCGGAUUGUAGGCUGCAACCCGCCUACAUGAAGUCGGAAUUGCUAGUAAUCGCAGAUCAGCAUGCUGCGGUGAAUACGUUCCCGGGCCUUGUACGCACCGCCCGUCACGCCAUGGGAGUCGGUAACACCCGAAGCCUGUAGUCUAACCGCAAGGAGGACGCAGUCGAAGGUGGGAUUGAUGACUGGGGUGAAGUCGUAACAAGGUA